ACUAGGCAAGAAAGGAGGGCAGGGAGGCUGCAAGGCCACCACCAGCCCCUCAUUAUAGAGUCACACUUCUGGGGAGGCUAGAAUUAACCAGGGUGUGAAGAUGGACACUGAGCAAAGACAGACCCAACCUCAGCCCAGUCCACCAUGGCAAGGGAAACAAAAGCAAAAAUAAACUAUCGAGUCUGCAUCAAAAUAAAAGGAAAGUGAAGGAAAUCAUCAGCAUAACAAAAAGGUUCCUCUAAACCACCCACUUAGAGUGGUCCCAGUGCACAACGCUGCCUCAGUACUGUCAUGCACUGAGUUGCCUGGAAUGUUCUUUUCCCUCCACAUUUGCCUGCUGAGUACAUGACUGCUCUUCCACAAGCCACUGCAAAGUUGCCUCUCUGUUCCCUCACUCCGGUAAGCAGAGGUGAGCCUACACCUUUCAGCUUCAUUAUACAUCUUCCCACUGUUAGGAUUAUUUAACACAUAAAGACCUCCUACCACUUAACUGGAGGCUCCCUAAGGGCAUUCAUUUUUUAUUCCCAGAACCUAAUACUUUACUCAGCAAUACCAAACCUUAAAUAAAUGUUUUUUGAAUAAACUAAUAGAUGGGUGGGAAAAGAAGGAAAGGAAGCAAGGGAGGAAAGGGAGAAGGAGACAAGGAGAGGAAAAAAGGGAGAGAGGGAGGAGAAAAAGAGAGAGAAGAGAAGAUGAAAAACCACCUUGUGUUCAUGGUGGUUUGUUGCUAAACCAGCAGAUGCUGUAAUGUAAAGCUGAGUGGUCAGCCCCAGACACAUGAUCAUCUAUUCAGUGAUUUCUUUUGAAGACUCUACUGUUUGCUACUGCAACGUUUUCUUGAAGAUGCUGCCACAAGGAAGAAAAUAUGGGCCUUCCCAACCAGACUUGGGGGAUGUUUUAAAAGCCUUUAUUUGGGCACCUCCAGUCACAGACUUGGUAGUGUGGUGGAGGAGAGCAGCAGAGAAAACAGUUAGUGGGACUGAACAGCCUCAAAAUUACCUGGUUUCAAAUGUGUUUAUGCUCCUUUCCAACACAUUUUCAAGGCCAUCUGUGGCACUGAAUGUUUU